AUCUUCUGCCUUUUGCCUUUCA
rnacentral:piRNA from 1 species